rnacentral:lncRNA from 1 species
GUGCCCCCUAAACUCAUGCAUGUUCGGCGGCCGAACUUGACUUUCGGCGGCCGAACCUUGGCUCGUUUAAACAAGACUUUCGGAGGCCAGAGGCGCUCCCGAAGCCUUCCCAUGUUCGGCGGCCGAACUUCACUUUCGGCGGCCGAACCUGGCAAUUGCCUCCUUGGUCUUUUUCCUUUCAAAACUAAAUUCAUUUCCAUUUAAAACCAUGAAAUCAGUAAAGACAUUUUAGAAAACACAUUUUAC